ACUUCCCCCCAUCCCUAAUUCACGUCUCUCUCUCAGUUUCAAAUCCCCCCAAAACCCCCGCUAUUCAAAUCCCCCAAAAUUCACGUUCCCAACUUCUCAAUUUUAAAAAUCCCCAUCCUUUCCCUAAUUCUCCCAAUCCGAGCAGGAGAUUGGAUUUUCAUUGCUAACAGGAUUUGUUGCAGAGAAACACCUUUGGGUUUUCGGAGGAUAGAAUUUUCCAGCAGAAAAUUCCAGGUCCAAACCACAAGCCAAUCUUUGCUAAUGAGGGCAUUUAAUCAGGCUAUCAGAUCGACAAGGAACUCGAUCAUUUGAAGAACGCGUUUGAGGAACAGAUGAAGUUAUUGUGGACAUGAAGAUGUGAUGUUUGUCAAAGGGAGCUCAAAGGGAAAUAAAAAAUGCUAGAUGAAUGUUAGAUCUAGAAUUUUAUGUUUGUAUACAUUGAUUUUCAUUUUACAUUGUAUAUAUUGAUUAUUUUAAAACUAUUAUGCAAAUUUUUUAUGUAACAGUCCUUUUAUAUUUGAGGCAUUUUAAAUAUUAUAUUUAAUUUA